GACGAACGCUGGCGGCGUGCUUAACACAUGCAAGUCGAACGGAAAGGCCCUGCUUUUGUGGGGUGCUCGAGUGGCGAACGGGUGAGUAACACGUGAGUAACCUGCCCUUUACUUUGGUAUAACUUCAGGAAACUGGGGCUAAUACCGGAUAGGAUCUCCUGCUGCAUGGUGGGGGUUGGAAAGUUUCGGCGGUUGGGGAUGGACUCGCGGCUUAUCAGCUUGUUGGUGGGGUAGUGGCUUACCAAGGCUUUGACGGGUAGCCGGCCUGAGAGGGUGACCGGCCACAUUGGGACUGAGAUACGGCCCAGACUCCUACGGGAGGCAGCAGUGGGGAAUAUUGUACAAUGGGAGGAAGCCUGAUGCAGAAACGCCGCGUGCGGGAUGACGGCCUUCGGGUUGUAAACCGCUUUCGCCUGUGACGAAGCGUGAGUGACGGUAAUGGGUAAAGAAGCACCGGCUAACUACGUG
rnacentral:rRNA from 1 species